rnacentral:rRNA from 1 species
AGCUCCAAUAGCGUAUAUUAAAAUUGUUGCGGUUAAAACGCUCGUAGUUGGAUAUCUGCCGAGGGGUUUCGGUGCUUCCCAGUGAAGAAUACGCGGAACUCUUCUUGGCAUUUGUUCAGGGAAGGUGGUUGCACUUAAUUGUGUGUCACAUGAACUGAAUUUUUACUUUGAGGAAAUGAGAGUGUUUCAAGCAGGCAUUUGCCGUGAAUAUGAUAGCAUGGAAUAAUAGCAUGGGACCCCGUUCCAGAGCUGUUGGUUUUUGGUACGAGGUAACGAUAAUAAGGAUAGUUGGGGGCAUUCGUAUUUAACUGUCAGAGGUGAAAUUCUUGGAUUUUUUAAAGACGAACUAUUGCGAAGGCAUCUGCCAAGGAUGUUUUUA